GAUUUCUGGCCUGAAACAUUUUGUCGGCCACGGUUUCGUGUGUUAGUGCAUUAUGUUCUGGCCAUCCUUCCUAUCGCUAUUUACUUUUCUUCAUUGAUUAGUAAGUGGUAUAGGAUCUUUUACUUUGAAAAAAUUAGAGUGUUUCAAGCAGGCUUUAUGCUAUGAAUACAUUAGCAUGGAAUAAUAAUUUAGGACUUUGGCCCUAUUUUGUUGGUUUCUAGGACUGAAGUAAUGAUUGAUAGGGAUAGUUGGGGGUGCUCGAAUUCAGCGGCCAGAGGUGAAAUUCUUGGAUUCGCUGAAGACGAACUCAUGCGAAAGCAUU
rnacentral:rRNA from 1 species